CUGCACUGUCUUUGAACCUGGCGGGUCUUGUCCAUGACCUCCUUGGCCAAGCUACAGUGCUACAGCAAACGUAAGCUUGCUCAUAACUGGGGCCUCCUGGCAACAUCCCCGGGUCGCCUUUUUAAAUGCAGGCUACAUUA
ensembl:snoRNA